GGGCCUGUAGCUCAGAGGAUUAGAGCACGUGGCUACGAACCACGGGUCGGGGGUUUGAAUCCUUCUUACCCCCA
rnacentral:tRNA from 1 species